rnacentral:rRNA from 1 species
UACGAAGGGGGCUAGCGUUGCUCGGAAUCACUGGGCGUAAAGCGCACGUAGGCGGAUCUUUAAGUCAGGGGUGAAAUCCCAAGGCUCAACCUUGGAACUGCCUUUGAUACUGGGGAUCUCGAGUCCGGAAGAGGUGAGUGGAACUGCGAGUGUAGAGGUGAAAUUCGUAGAUAUUCGCAAGAACACCAGUGGCGAAGGCGGCUCACUGGUCCGGUACUGACGCUGAGGUGCGAAAGCGUGGGGAGCAAACCGGG